GGGCCUGUAGUUUAGUGGUAGAACGCCGCAUUUGCAAUGCGGAGAUCGCGGGUCCGAUUCCCGCCGGGUCCA
rnacentral:tRNA from 1 species